rnacentral:lncRNA from 1 species
CCUGGUCACAGAAGAUGGAGCAGUGAGGGCUGAGGCUGUUGGGCAGGUCAGAGUCUGAUGUUGCCUGCAGUGCAUCACUUUUUCACUGCUGUUGCCCCAUGAAGGUCUGAGAUCAUGGAAAGGAGGUGACGCACAGCGCCUGCCUCUGUGAUUCCGUGCCUGCCUUUCAUCCUGCUCCGUGUACGGCUCCAAGCCGGCACGAGUUCCUCCAAAACACCACAGAUGCUGCUACAGAAACUGGUCCUGGCUGUGGAUGCACAAACACCGUAGACCUCGCAAGCCCUUCCUGGAGUGUGUCAUCUGGAGACCUGAGUAACAGGGAAAGCAUGAAGGAUGUCUUUGGGGUAGCAGUGCUUUCCGAGACUCUGUCCUCCCACUACACUCACUUUCUACCUUUGGUGUGAGGGAAUAAGAGGGAACAUGAAGAAGAUUACGAUGUGUUAGGGAGAUGAGUCUUUGAUGGGAAGUCUCCCCAUGGCAGGAAUUGGAUCAUCCAAAGGCCUCCAAGUGAAGACUCUUCCUGCAGAAAUCAGAGAUACCAACUCGAGCAGUGUGAUGAACUGAAUUGGAACCAACCACUCUCAGCUGGUAUUCACACUAAUCCUUGGACACACCAAAUAGGCUGGAGUCCCAGUGUGACACAUCUUACAAGUAAGAGGAAGUGCUUGCCUGAAGAAGAUAAUGGUCUAAAAAUUAAAGAAAGAAGAAAAAAAAAAAAAAAGAAAGCCUUAUAUUCCACAUGGUCACAUGUGGGAAUUCAAAUUCAUGUUGGAUGACAGAUCCUGUGUUGCUCCUGAAGUCUCUGCUAAUCUCUAAUCCCAAUAAUCAAAAUCGUUGCCUCAAGCCCCAUCUCACAUUUAAGUGCUCCACGCUUGCUGUUUUCUUUCUUUAACAGGUAGAAUAAUGAGUAUUUCUUGAAUGUUGC